rnacentral:rRNA from 1 species
CCUACGGGAGGCAGCAGUGAGAAAUAUUGGUCAAUGGGCGGGAGCCUGAACCAGCCAAGUAGCGUGAGGGAAGACUGCCCUAUGGGUUGUAAACCUCUUUUGUUUGGGAAUAAAGUGGGCCAUGUGUGGCUUUUUGUAUGUACCUUACGAAUAAGCAUCGGCUAAUUCCGUGCCAGCAGCCGCGGUAAU